rnacentral:rRNA from 1 species
ACGGCAGCACGGGCGGGGGUAACCUCGCCUGGUGGCGAGUGGCGAACGGGUGAGUAAUAUAUCGGAACGUACCCUGGAGUGGGGGAUAACGUAGCGAAAGUUACGCUAAUACCGCAUACGAUCUACGGAUGAAAGUGGGGGAUCGCAAGACCUCAUGCUCGUGGAGCGGCCGAUAUCUGAUUAGCUAGUUGGUAGGGUAAAAGCCUACCAAGGCAUCGAUCAGUAGCUGGUCUGAGAGGACGACCAGCCACACUGGAACUGAGACACGGUCCAGACUCCUACGGGAGGCAGCAGUGGGGAAUUUUGGACAAUGGGCGCAAGCCUGAUCCAGCAAUGCCGCGUGAGUGAAGAAGGCCUUCGGGUUGUAAAGCUCUUUUGUCAGGGAAGAAACGGUGUUUUCUAAUACAGAAUGCUAAUGACGGUACCUGAAGAAUAAGCACCGGCUAACUACGUGCCAGCAGCCGCGGUAAU